AUGCCGAAGAAGAAGCCACGGUUGGAGCUCAUGCCGGCGGAGAUUGCAUGGCUCGACAUAGAAUCGGCCAAGAGAAGGGCCGCUGUCGAGGACAAAGAGACCAUCAUCGCCAAGGCCAGACAGGCAGCGACGAUGCACACCCUCGUCAUGCUUGGGUUGUGCCAGCCCGUGCCUGCCAUUCUCUCUGCCACCGCCAUGGCCGCGGAGAUGAGCGGUUUUCAUCCGGAGUGGCAGCAUGCUUUGACCCGGUUGUCCACGUCGCCGAACGGCAGCGUGAUCGCGUCGGGCACUCCUGGCCCCAUGAAGCAACUGCAGUGGACUCCUAUAGCCAACCUUCCCGGCGCCCGCAACCUGUUCGUCGAAACACCAAACCCGACGUCGUUUACCAAUGACCCUGAAUACAACGCGUUCAUAGAGAACAUCAUCUACGAGUGUCCUGGCCAGGCCUUCCACCCCGACAACGAAGGCUAUGAUCCCGACGAGACCCAAAGCCAAGACGGUUGCGACCAAGAUGGUGCUGACCACUAUGGUGUCCAUGACAAAGAAGAGGGCGACGACCAUGGUAACUCAUGGCAUGAAGACAUCUAUUGUGAAGAGGAAGAAGAAGUGGGCGUCGACAUUGAGAAGUUUCUGCCCUAUGAGUUCGCGAGCACCCGUUACAUCAACUCAAUCCAAAAGAGACGAGGGUUUAUUCAACAAGAAUACAACAAGUCUUGUGAUGCGCUUGAGAGCGUUGAAACCCAUCCUGUUAGUGGCCUAGGAGUGGGUGACUUGGGACGAGAGGAAGCACCAAGAAAAGGAGGAGCAAAUGAAUAUAUAGUUGAAGCUCCAAAUGAAGAAGCUCGUCAUGAAGGAGGCCGCAAGAGGAAGAAGCUCGACAUAGAGGAGGCCGUCCAAACGAAGAAGCUCAUGAUCGAGGCCACCAAUGCUGAUAGAAAAGCAAAAGAGGUGGCUCUAGCAAUCAAGAUCAUGGACUUGACCAACAUGUCCCCUAAGAGAAGAGGUUGGUUUGAGAAGCGGCAAAAGGAGAUGUUCGACCAAGAUGCUGGCAAGCAUGCCGGCCGCUGGCUUUGUCGCCGGAGUGAAAACUCGGAGGUUGAUCAUUUUAAAACUGGGGCAAAAGUUUUGAUAGCAAAGGAAGAUAAGUUUCUCUUGUGCACUUUGGCCCAUCGUGAACAGUGCAGCCCAGCCCAACUUGCUCCCUCCAUCGUCCUCCCUGUUCAAUGUGCACGCUGGAAGCCGGCUGUGCGUCCAUGUCGCGGAUCCGCCGUGUGGCGGCCAUCCAGACCACCCCGGCACCCUACAAGGUCGCCGUCGACCCCUCUGGCCAAACCCGAGAUCCCAAAUCCCCUUUCCCCUCUCGGUUUCUUCCUCCCCUUGCAAACUCGAGAGCUUCAUGGCCUCGUCGCCGUCAAACCCGUGGCCACCGAGGCCCAUUCGCCGCUCCACCGUCUCCUGGAGCUCCGCCGCGUCCGUCUACGUCGACUACGUCCCUGGAUCGAACAAGAUCAGUCACACAUCAUCACCUUCGUCCGUCUUCAUCAACUUCGGCCACCGCCGUCACCGGGUCGGAUUCGCCCCACCAGACCCCCCCCCGAGCCCGCUGCCACCUCCCUACAGCUCCCUGUGAGCCCCUCCUCUGUUUCCCCCUUCUCCUCUGCUCCCGUCGCCUUAGACGUCGUGUUCCGCCGCCGCCCGAUCUCGUGCAAGCCCACGCUCACCGCCCCUCUGGCCGACCUGGGCACGCUCCCUACGCCACCCAUACGUGCCCGCGCAGCCCCUCUAGCUGUCGAAGCUGAUGUUGCUGCUGCCCUGCGCCGCCCACUCUUCUGCUGCUCGCCGCUGCUCCUUUAUCGCGGCCCCAACACGCCUAACUGUGGCCCGGGCUCGGCCUCCGCCCCGUCCACCACCCCGCGCUGCGUCGCUCGCUGCCAAGCGUCGUGUCGCCCCGUCCUGCUCCCCGCGGCCGCUGCCUGCUGCUUCUACUCUGCUCCGCUGCCCCGUGUCGUGCUCUCCUCCCAUAACCUCGACGCGGCCGCACUGCUCCUGCCACUGCUCGUUGUCGUGGCCACCGCCCGCUACAGCGUGGCCCCAUGGCCGCACCCGCCAUCACGCGCCCGCAAGCCCCGCGUGGCUGCCUGCUUCUGUCACCAUCGCGCCCGCAUGCCCUUGUCGCCCCGCCGCUCCCGACGUCGUCGCCCGCAGUCGUCGCCCCCGCCGUUGCCCAGCCCCGCGCCUCCCCUCACACUAGCCCUGCAGCCCAGCCCAACUUGCUCCCUCCAUCGUCCUCCUUGUUCACCGUGCGUGCUGGACACCGGCUGUGCGUCCAUGUCGCGGAUCCGCUGCAUGGCGGCCAUCCAGACCAACCCGGCACCCUACAAGGUCGUCGUCGACCCCUCUGGCCAAACCCUAGAUCCCAAAUCCCCUUUCCCCUCUUGGUUUCUUCCUCCCCUUGCAAACUCGAGAGCUUCAUGGCCUCGUCGUCGUCAAACCCGUGGCCACCGAGGCCCAUUCGCCGCUCCACCAUCUCCUGGAGCUCCGCCGUGUCCGUCUAUGUCGACUACAUCCCUGGAUCGAACGAGAUCAGUCGCACAUCAUCGCCUUCGUCCGUCUUCAUCAACUCCGGCCACCGCCGUCGCCGCGUCGGAUUCGCCCCACCGGACCCCCUUUGAGCCCCCUGCCACCUUCCUACAACUCCCUGUGAUCCCCUCCUCCGUUUCCCCCUUCUCCUUUGCUCCCGUCGUCGUAGACGUCGUGUUCCACCACCGCCCGAUCUCGUGCAAGCCCGCGCUCACGGCACCUCUGGCUGACCUGGGUGUGCUCCCUACGCCACCCACGUGUGCCCGCACAGCCCCUCCAGCUGCCGAAGCUACUGUUGAUGCUGCCCUGCGCCGCCCACUCCUGUACGCUGCUGCAGUCGUUGUGCUGCUAUCCGCUGCUCUGCCGGUUGCGCUCGUCGCGCCCCGGGGCCACCCAGCUACUGCUCGCUGCUGCUCCUUUAUCAUGACCCAGGCUCGGCCUCCGCCCCGUCCACCACCCCAUGUUGCGUCGCCCGCUGCCAAGCGCCGCGCCGCCCCGUCCUGCUCCCCGUGGCCGCCGCCUGCUCCUUCUGCUCUACUCCGCUGCCCCGCGCCGCGCUCUCCUCCCUUAACCCCACCACGACCGUGCUGCUCCUACUGCUACUCGAUGCCGUGGUCGCCGCCCGCUGCACCGUGGCACCACCACCGCACCAUGGACGCAUUCGCCAUCGCGCGCCCGCAAGCCCCGCGCGGCUGCCUGCUUCUGGCACCACCGUGCCCGCAUGCCCUGGCCACCCCGCCGCUCCCUACAAACCCCUCCCCGUCGUCAUCCACGUCGGCACCCGAGCCAGGCGCCGCGUUGCCCUUCGAACGCGCCUCGCCGCCGCAAUCGACAGCCACUUGGGCGAGCUCCCACGAUGUCACCCGAAACUGCAUCACCCUCCACCUCGACCGCCUCCUCGUCGACCUCGCGUCCUCAUCCUCUUCCCCGCCGGCCGCCAGCAAGCCUCGGCGCCCUCUCUCCCCAUCAACGCUGGUGAGGCCCCGGGCCUCUUCCCUUCUCUGCCUCACGCCUCGCUCACGGUCACCGCACGCUAGACCGCCCACGUGCGCGCCCGCGGUGAGCACGUGCUCACCACGCCCUGCGCGUCGUGCUCCCCGCGACCGAGUCGUCCUCGGCGUGCGCCACCUCCCCGUACCGCCCGCGACGUCCGCUCCUCCCGUUUGCCGCUCCGGCUGCCGGCGCCUCGCAGCACUCUGUCGGGCGUCCGCAACGCCCGCUGCGCCCAUUUGGGCCUUGCCCGUACCCGCGUGCCCGUUAGGCCCCAGGGGCCACAGACAUCUGGGCCCCCCUAGUGCCACUGACCGACUGGGCCCACACCCAUAUCCGCGUCGCCCCAUCCACUCUCUCGCCCGAACCACACGCCGCACCGAUCCCGCACCCGCACAGCCCAUCGGCGACCUUGUCGGAGAAGAGAGAAGAAGCUGGGCUCCUCCGCCGACCCGCGCCAAGUUCCUCGAGGAGUUCGCGCGGCGGUUCGACCUCCUCGGGCUGGUCCGAUUCGGGACGGAGGUAGUGAGCGUCUGCCGUAGCAGGGCCGACGACGUGGGAUGGAGGGUGAGGCUCGCCUGCGCUAGCAGCGAGCUGGAGGAGGAGGAGGGCGUCGACGUCUUUGACAACAUCUGGAACAACGCAUGCACGCACGCGCCGCCUUCUUUCCUCUCCCCAACCCCCACGCUAGAUUCUCAUGAUUUUGUGCGAUUUUUGGGGCAGGUCUAUGACACCGAGAAUGCAAACCAGAAGGAGAAGUUCGAGGCGGACCUCAAGAAGGAGAUCAAGAAGCUGCAGCACUACUAG
rnacentral:rRNA from 1 species